UAAAAAAAAACAAACCUAUUUUGCAUCUAUACGGCUGUACCAUUCAUCCCUUUUCCAUUCUCGUUCUCCUCCCGUUCCUUUUUCUCUGUUUAGAUCCUGCAAGGGACGAGUACGGGGUGAGAAGGGGGAUUUGCGGCAGAGUGUGGUGGUUGCAGGCUCUCAGCUGCGGCAGGUCCUCCAGCUCGAGUAGUGCCUGCUGCUCGCCGCCACCGCCGACUUGAUGGCCGUGGAGCUCGGCCCCCUUAACCUGAGAGACAGUCCACAUGUGGAGGCAAGUUGAGGGCUUCCUAGUUGCUACUACUGUCAGCUUCAACCUAUGUAAUGUGCUACAACUUUGCAUCAUUCCUACUUCAUGCACACCGGCUGAUUCUUCAUAGGUGAUAGGCAACUCGGAUGGAUGGCUGGGUGUGACUUCGUCGAGCAUUGAGUCGAACAUCAAGUUGCAUUUUUCAUCGAUUCUGAUCUUUUCCCAAAAUUGUGUUGCCCUCUAUAGAAACUUCUUUUAUUGAUGUGUGCCGAGUAGCAGAUUUGGCUGGCUUGAAUUUUGGGUGUGUGCUGGGCAUGGCCGAAAUUUGGCUGGCUUGAAGUUUUGGAUGCGUGCUGGGUAUGGCUGGCUGGGUGCCUUUAUAUUUGUGCCUGUCUUGGCCGACUACGUGUAAACUUCAGGUUGAGUCUGUAUGGAAUUAUGUAUGCAGUCUGGUAUUGGUGCACGUGAGUUUCCAUAUGGGCUAUUUGCCUGAUUUGGAGAUUCAUGGGCAUGUUUUUUCUAAGGAAAGACUUGCCUACGUGAUCUUUUUUUUUACGUGUUCAAGUUGGACUUUGUUCAACGUGAUUGGCCGGAGGCUGUUUUUUUCUACGUGAUUUACGUGUUCAAGUUGGACUUUGUUCAACGUGAUUGGCCGGAGGCUGUUCGAAGGCUAUUUUUUUCUACGUGAUUGGCCGGAGGCUGAUUGAUUGGUUACGUCCAUGCCAAGUGCUAACACGAACGUGGGUUCAUCUUAGGCGUGUCUCUUUUUCGCGGGAGUACCUUAGAUGUGUCAGAUGUAAAAAGUUGUACAUGUUAUCGUUGUACGUAACUUUUACAUAUUUUUAAUCUCAGCCAUUGUUGUAUAAAUCAAUGGCUAAUAUAUUUUUAGCCUAUGUGGAUAAAUGUGGUGGCUUAAUUGUCUCUUGUUUUAAUUAUAUAAUAGAUAGAUAGAUUGUUGUUAGCUUAUAUUGGAAAAUUAAAUACUUUUACGACAAUUCAAGAAGGUCUAUAUUAUUUGAAGUUCUCUACUGGCUCUGUUGAACUGAAGAGGACACACGUUAGGUGAAUGUCUCAAUGUAUUCAAAAUUUACAACAUGACAUGCAUGGUUCUAAUAGUGCUGACCAACACUUGUUAUCUAAUAGGUGUCCUUAUUGGUAGAUGUUAAGUAUGCUUUCUCUACCUCAGUAAAUGGAAUAGUCCUUAGAUUCACUGAAUAAGCUACUAAUCAAUAUAUAUAUUUUGGAUAUGAUUCAUUAGUUCAUAAAUAUUUAAGGAUAGAGUCCCAUACUUGUCACGAAGUUCCCAAGUUUCCGAUAUUCUAAAUUUGUAUAUGUUCUUGUGGGGCUGGUUGAGUUGAGGUAACAAUGAUCAAUCUAUUAGAUAUUAUUAGUAAAUAAAAGAAGAGCUUGUAAUGUUAUUGGACUUACCAUUGAACUUCUGCACUAUUGUGGAGGUUACAAUAAGGACAGUUUGGUUGUUGCUUACAUCCUAAUUUCCCCAUAAUGUCAAUAUGAUUUUAUUACCCCUAAAGAGUAUAAGCAGAAAAAACUAAUGCUAAUAGCAAUGGUAGAAGUCCAAUUAAUAUUUUAAGAAUGGGUAUGCAUGAUGCACUUACUUUGGUAUAUAAUUUCAAUCUGGCAGAAAUAUAAAGGUUAUAGUUAUUUCUUCUUAUUCUUGAUUCCACAGGCUUCAUUUGGGGAGUAACCAAUGACAUUUAUUGGAGAUUAAUUAGUUCACAGUAAAGAUUAAUUACUUGAAAAAUCUUAUUUACAACUACAAAAUAUAGACAUACCUGAGCAAUGUUUAUCUUUCUUGGUCUGGUCCUAUAAUAUGUCUUUGCUAGCAAUCUCGAAGUAGUAAUGCGGAUAACCUUAUGCUGAUCUUUUCACCUUCAAAUUGUUAAAUGCAUAAAUAGAUUUGUCAUUUAUCUUUGAUUUUGACGUGUCCAUCAAACCUCCGAGAUGGUAGCAUGAAUUGUUUGGCCCUAUAAGAACAGUCAUAAUAUACUUAGUGAUUGUUGUUUUACUUUUAAAAUGAUGGAACAAUCUGAAAUUAGAUAUGUUAUGAAAUAACCUUUUAUCCAUCUAGAUCAUAUUGAGGCUCAUAAGCUCGUGUCGGUUAUACAUUCCAAUUUUGCUUCCUUGUUGUGACGUCACUAUGCUUCUUGUAUGACAAUGUUUUCUCUGCAAAAAAGUUAGAAAUUUGUUAGUCAAUUAAUAAUAUAUGUUCAAAGAUUGUAUCUAGAAUAAUAACUACACACCGUUAUGAUUCAGUUGAUAGGCAACUCGGAUGGAUGGCUGGGUGUGACUUCGUCGAGCAUUGAGUCGAACAUCAAGUUGCAUUUUUCAUCGAUUCUGAUCUUUUCCCAAAAUUGUGUUGCCCUCUAUAGAAACUUCUUUUAUUGAUGUGUGCCGAGUAGCAGAUUUGGCUGGCUUGAAUUUUGGGUGUUUGCUGGGCAUGGCCUAAAUUUGGCUGGCUUGAAGUUUUGGAUGCGUGCUGGGUAUGGCUGGCUGGGUGCCUUUAUAUUUGUGCCUGUCUUGGCUGACUACGUGUAAACUUCAGGUUGAGUCUGUAUGGAAUUAUGUAUGCAGUCUGGUAUUGGUGCACGUGAGUUUCCAUAUGGGCUAUUUGCCUGAUUUGGAGAUUCAUGGGCAUGUUUUUUCUAAGGAAAGACUUGCCUACGUGAUCUUUUUUUUUACGUGUUCAAGUUGGACUUUGUUCAACGUGAUUGGCCGGAGGCUGUUUUUUUCUACGUGAUUUACGUGUUCAAGUUGGACUUUGUUCAACGUGAUUGGCCGGAGGCUGUUCGAAGGCUAUUUUUUUCUACGUGAUUGGCCGGAGGCUGAUUGAUUGGUUACGUCCAUGCCAAGUGCUAACACGAACGUGGGUUUAUCUUAGGCGUGUCUCUUUUUCGCGGGAGUACCUUAGACGUGUCAGAUGUAAAAAGUUGUACAUGUUAUCGUUGUACGUAACUUUUACAUAUUUUAAUCUCAGCCAUUGUUGUAUAAAUCAAUGGCUAAUAUAUUUUUAGCCUAUGUGGAUAAAUGUGGUGGCUUAAUUGUCUCUUGUUUUAAUUAUAUGAUAGAUAGAUUGUUGUUAGCUUAUAUUGGAAAAUUAAAUACUUUUACGACAAUUCAAGAAGGUCUAUAUUAUUUGAAGUUCUCUACUGGCUCUGUUGAACUGAAGAGGACACACGUUAGGUGAAUGUCUCAAUGUAUUCAAAAUUUACAACAUGACAUGCAUGGUUCUAAUAGUGCUGACCAACACUUGUUAUCUAAUAGGUGUCCUUAUUAGUAGAUGUUAAGUAUGCUUUCUCUACCUCGGUAAAUGGAAUAGUCCUUAGAUUCACUGAAUAAGCUACUAAUCAAUAUAUAUAUUUUGGAUAUGAUUCAUUAGUUCAUAAAUAUUUAAGGAUAGAGUCCCAUACUUGUCACGAAGUUCCCAAGUUUCCGAUAUUCUAAAUUUGUAUAUGUUCUUGUGGGGCUGGUUGAGUUGAGGUAACAAUGAUCAAUCUAUUAGAUAUUAUUAGUAAAUAAAAGAAGAGCUUGUAAUGUUAUUGGACUUACCAUUGAACUUCUGCACUAUUGUGGAGGUUACAAUAAGGACAGUUUGGUUGUUGCUUACAUCCUAAUUUCCCCAUAAUGUCAAUAUGAUUUUAUUACCCCUAAAGAGUAUAAGCAGAAAAAACUAAUGCUAAUAGCAAUGGUAGAAGUCCAAUUAAUAUUUUAAGAAUGGGUAUGCAUGAUGCACUUACUUUGGUAUAUAAUUUCAAUCUGGCAGAAAUAUAAAGGUUAUAGUUAUUUCUUCUUAUUCUUGAUUCCACAGGCUUCAUUUGGGGAGUAACCAAUGACAUUUAUUGGAGAUUAAUUAGUUCACAGUAAAGAUUAAUUACUUGAAAAAUCUUAUUUACAACUACAAAAUAUAGACAUACCUAAGCAAUGUUUAUCUUUCUUGGUCUGUUCCUAUAAUAUGUCUUUGCUAGCAAUCUCAAAGUAGUAAUGCGGAUAACCUUAUGUUGAUCUUUUCACCUUCAAAUUGUUAAAUGCAUAAAUAGAUUUGUCAUUUAUCUUUGAUUUCUACGUGUCCAUCAAACCUCCGAGAUGGUAGCAUGAAUUGU